GGGAUAUCUAAAAUUGACUUCACACCAGCUGAAAUAACUGCAACUGGAGUCUUUCCAAGUUCAGUAAGAUCGGAUGAUAUAUCCAUCGUUUGUUCACCAUGUCUAUGCACUCCUCCAAUGCCUCCUGUGACGAAUACCGAUAUGCCCACCUUAUAAGCAAAAAACAUGGUUGCAGAAACAGUUGUGGCACCAUUUCCACCAGCUGCAACAAUAUGUGGAAUGUCCCUGCGGGCUG
rnacentral:misc_RNA from 1 species